rnacentral:rRNA from 1 species
AUUGAACGCUGGCGGCAUGCCUUACACAUGCAAGUCGAACGGCAGCACGGGGCAACCUGGUGGCGAGUGGCGAGCGGGUGAGUAAUGCAUCGGAACGUACCUUUCAGUGGGGGAUAACGUAGCGAAAGUUACGCUAAUACCGCAUAUUCUGUGAGCGGGAAAGCAGGGGAUCGCAAGACCUUGCGCUGAUUGAGCGGCCGAUGUCAGAUUAGCUAGUUGGUGAGGUAAAGGCUCACCAAGGCGACGAUCUGCAGCGGGUCUGAGAGGAUGAUCCGACACACUGGAACUGAGACACGGUCCAGACUCCUACGGGAGGCAGCAGUGGGGAAUUUUGGACAAUGGGGGCAACCCUGAUCCAGCCAUGCCGCGUGAGUGAAGAAGGCCUUCGGGUUGUAAAGCUCUUUCGGCCGGGAAGAAAUCGCACGGGCUAAUACCCUGUGUGGAUGACGGUACCGGAAUAAGAAGCACCGGCUAACUACGUGCCAGCAGCCGCAGUAAAAC